CUGCAUCAGGGAUGGAAGCGGCAUCCUUUUAUGGAGCAACGCGAAAUAAAAGAUAAAGCGGACAGCCCGGGCCGAA
rnacentral:sRNA from 1 species